GACGAACGCUGGCGGCGUGCUUAACACAUGCAAGUCGAGCGGAGCGGCGAACGGGUGAGUAACGCGUGAGUAACUGCCCCCCUCUCCGGGAUAACAGUUGGAAACGGCUGCUAAUACCGGAUAGUGGGGGAUGCCUCGCGUCCUAUCAGCUUCUUGGUGGGGUAGUGGCCUACCAAGGCGACGACGGGUAGCCUGCCUGUGAGGGCGACCGGCCAAAUUGGGCUGGGGUACGGCACGAACUGCUACGGGGGGCAGGAGUGGGGAAUGUUGCACAAGGGGGGAAACGAGGGUGGAGGAACGCCGCGUGCGGGAUGACGGCCUUCGGGGUGUAAAGCGCUUUCGGCCAUGACGAGGGAGUGGAAGAAGAAGCACCGGCUAACUACGUGCCAGCCGCCGCGGUAAUUG
rnacentral:rRNA from 1 species